UGGACCCUACGGGACGCAGCAGUGGGGAAUAUUGCACAAUGGGGGGAACCCUGAUGCAGCGACGCCGCGUGAAGGAUGAAGUAUUUCGGUACGUAAACUUCUAUCAGCAGGGAAGAAAAUGACGGUACCUGACUAAGAAGCCCCGGCUAACUACGUGCCAGCAGCCGCGGUAAUACGUAGGGGGCAAGCGUUAUCCGGAUUUACUGGGUGUAAAGGGAGCGUAGACGGGCCAGCAAGCCUGAUGUGACAACCCGGGGCCCAACCCCGGGAGUGCAUUGGAAACUGCGGGCCUG
rnacentral:rRNA from 1 species